rnacentral:lncRNA from 1 species
GGGGAGGGCUAUGUCCGUGCUCACAGCCCUGGCGUGGGAGGGUGACUGGCGAGAGGACAUGUGUUCAUGGUGCCUGUGUCCUUCAUAACUUGGGUCACAGCAGUUUCCAACAAGAAAGAGAACUGAAACAACCAGGGAAUUCCCUGGCAAGGAGAAGUCCUGCCCAGUCUGCAUCUUUCAGAAGCCAGGAGGAAUGCCCCAGGUUUGUGGGUAGGAGUAUGCAUACACAGUGCUGGUUGUUGGCUUUCCGGAGGCAGAUGGGAGCUGGAAGUCUCACGAAGGGAGAGUAAGAGCCCGAAGGGAACACUGAACUCCACUGUGUGGGAGCUUGAGGGGCCUGUGCUGCCCAUGCCGAGUGUCCACCAUCUCACACUGCUUCUAACACCUUCAAGCCAUCUCCUGAAUCUGGAAUAGUCAUCAUGAGCUGGAGGCUUCCUCAGAAGAACCCUAAAAUCAAGGGGGAUUCUGGUGCCAAGAAAAAUAGCCCAACCCAGCUUCACAGCUGUGAGCCUCCAAUGCGCCCCAGGAAGCUGCCAUCACCAUGGGUAGCGCGACCUGGCUUGAUUUUGCCAAAACAAAGGAAAAUUCCUCCAGCAAUUUCUGUGAAUUUGUUUUGCAAAACUGAAUUGUCUGCUUUUAAUUCCCCUAUACCAAUUAAAUAAAAAUUGGAAUUUAAAAUCCAGUGAAUGACAGAAACCUCACUUUGGAGUGGAUGACAGACCCCACGCAACCUGGGGUCUGGGGUAGAGAAGUGAGAUGCUGGGAACUUCCAGGGAGUGGCGG